rnacentral:rRNA from 1 species
UACGUAGGUGGCAAGCGUUGUCCGGAUUUAUUGGGUUUAAAGGGUGCGUAGGCGGCCUUAUAAGUCAGUGCUGAAAUAUCCCGGCUUAACCGGGAGGGUGGCAUUGAUACUGUAGGGCUUGAGUAAAGUUGAGGUUGGCGGAAUUGACGGUGUAGCGGUGAAAUGCGUAGAUAUCGAGAGGAACACCAGUGGCGAAGGCGGCUCACUGGCCCGAUACUGACGCUGAGGCACGAAAGCCAGGGGAGCGAACGGG